rnacentral:rRNA from 1 species
GCAAACCCGGGGCGAGGGGCGGAGGUAAAACGGAGGAUCAAAGCGUGAUCCGGAAGCUUGGGGGUUAAAGGGUCCGUAGGCGGCCUUAUAAGUCAGCGGGGAAAGUUUUUGGCUUAACCAAAAAAUUGCCAUUGAUACUGUAGGGCUUGAAUAUUUGUGAAGUAACUAGAAUAUGUAGUGUAGCGGUGAAAUGCUUAGAUAUUACAUGGAAUACCAAUUGCGAAGGCAGGUUACUAACAAAUGAUUGACGCUGAUGGACGAAAGCGUGGGUAGCGAACAGGAUUAGAUACCCCAGUAGUC